CCCAGACUCCUACGGGAGGCAGCAGUGGGGAAUAUUGCACAGUGGGGGAAACCCUGAUGCAGCGACGCCGCGUGAGCGAAGAAGUAUUUCGGUAUGUAAAGCUCUAUCAGCAGGGAAGAAAAAAAUGACGGUACCUGAGUAAGAAGCACCGGCUAAAUACGUGCCAGCAGCCGCGGUAAUACGUAUGGUGCAAGCGUUAUCCGGAUUUACUGGGUGUAAAGGGAGCGUAGGCGGCGCGUUAAGUCUGAUGUGAAAACCCGAGGCUCAACCACGGGAGUGCAUUGGAAACUGGCGGGCUGGAGUGCCGGAGAGGUAAGCGGAAUUCCUAGUGUAGCGGUGAAAUGCGUAGAUAUUAGGAGGAACACCAGUGGCGAAGGCGGCUUACUGGACGGCAACUGACGCUGAGGCUCGAAAGCGUGGGGAGCGAACAGGAUUAGAUACCCCAGUACA
rnacentral:rRNA from 1 species